rnacentral:tRNA from 1 species
CGGGAUAUGGCGCAGCUUGGUAGCGCANNGUCGUGGGUUCAAAUCCCGCUAUCCCGA